rnacentral:rRNA from 1 species
UGGGGAAUAUUGCACAAUGGGCGCAAGCCUGAUGCAGCCAUGCCGCGUGUAUGAAGAAGGCCUUCGAGUUGUAAAGCACUUUCAGCGGGGAGGAAGGCGAUAAGGUUAAUAACCUUGUCGAUUGACGUUACCCGCAGAAGAAGCACCGGCUAACUCCGUGCCAGCAGCCGCGGUAAUACGGAGGGUGCAAGCGUUAAUCGGAAUUACUGGGCGUAAAGCGCACGCAGGCGGUCUGUCAAGUCGGAUGUGAAAUCCCCGGGCUCAACCUGGGAACUGCAUUCGAAACUGGCAGGCUAGAGUCUUGUAGAGGGGGGUAGAAUUCCAGGUGUAGCGGUGAAAUGCGUAGAGAUCUGGAGGAAUACCGGUGGCGAAGGCGGCCCCCUGGACAAAGACUGACGCUCAGGUGCGAAAGCGUGGGGAGCAAACAGG